GCAUAUCAAUAAGCGGAGGAAAAGAAACUAACAAGGAUUCCCCUUAGUAACUGCGAGUGAAGCGGGAAAAGCUCAAAUUUUAAAUCUGGCGGUCCUUUGCGGCCGUCCGAGUUGUAAUCUAGAGAAGUGCUUACCCGCGCUGGACCGUGUACAAGUCUCCUGGAAUGGAGCGUCAUAGAGGGUGAGAAUCCCGUCUUCGACACGGACUGCCAGGGCUUAUGUGGUGCGCUCUCGAAGAGUCGAGUUGUUUGGGAAUGCAGCUCUAAAUGGGUGGUAAAUUCCAUCUAAAGCUAAAUACAGGCGAGAGACCGAUAGCGAACAAGUACCGUGAGGGAAAGAUGAAAAGAACUUUGGAAAGAGAGUUAAACAGUACGUGAAAUUGCUGAAAGGGAAACGUUUGAAGUCAGUCGCGUUGGCUGGGGAUCAACCUUGCUCUUGCAGGGCGCACUCUCUGGUUUCGACGGGUCAGCAUCAGUUUUGGUCGCUGGAGAAAGGCUAGGGGAAUGUGGCAUCGCUUCGGUGAUGUGUUAUAGCCCUUGGUUGUAUGCAGCGGUUGGGACUGAGGAACUCAGCGCGCGCCUCUUCACGGGGGUGCCGGGUCUUUCGAGACCACGCUUACGCGCUUAGGAUGCUGGCAUAAUGGCUUUAAGCGACCCGUCUUGAAACACGGACCAAGGAGUCUAACAUGCUUGCGAGUGUUUGGGUGGAAAACCCGAGCGCGUAAUGAAAGUGAAAGUUGGGAACCCUGUCGUGGGGUGCACCGACGCCCGGACCAGACCUUCUUGUGACGGCUCCGCGGUAGAGCAGGCAUGUUGGGACCCGAAAGAUGGUGAACUAUGCCUGAAUAGGGUGAAGCCAGAGGAAACUCUGGUGGAGGCUCGUAGCGAUUCUGACGUGCAAAUCGAUCGUCAAAUUUGGGUAUAGGGGGCGAAAGACUAAUCGAACCAUCUAGUAGCUGGGUUCCUGCCGAAG
rnacentral:rRNA from 1 species